rnacentral:misc_RNA from 1 species
AAAAAAUUAAUUAACUUACUGGUGUUGCAUGUAUUUAUCUUUUCUUCCAUUUAUGUCUCAUUUCUUGUUAGGUAUGCAUGGAUUCCAAGAUAUCGUAAGUCAUUAGAGAGAAUUUCAUUCAAUGUGAUUUUAGAUCUAUCCUGUCACCUUUCAACAUUUUCAGCAUGGUUUCACACCUACAGACCAGUACGUUUGGAGGUCUAUGUAGGACAUGACCA